rnacentral:rRNA from 1 species
UGGGGCGUAAAGCGCAUGCAGGCGGCCUGUUAAGUCAGAUGUGAAAGCCCGGGGCUUAACCUCGGAAUUGCAUUUGAAACUGGCAGGCUAGAGUCUUGUAGAGGGGGGUAGAAUUUCAGGUGUAGCGGUGAAAUGCGUAGAGAUCUGAAGGAAUACCAGUGGCGAAGGCGGCCCCCUGGACAAAGACUGACGCUCAGAUGCGAAAGCGUGGGGAGCAAACAGGAUUAGAUACCCUGGUAG